GUCUGGAAGCUCCUCGUGCAGAAGCUGUGGGAGAUCCGAGAGGGACUUCCGCUCGGCGUGGCGUCCUGAGGCGGCGGGAAAGCAGUGGACGACGGGGACUCGUCAGGAGUUUGUCUUCAGAUAAACUCAAUUAUACUGGACAUAAAGAGCUUCUUGAAAGGGCAUGAAAGGCAACACAGACUAAAUAAUAUGAAAGGUAUCAGCCUUUAAGGAAAGUACAGAGAAGUAGAAACUCAUGGGGAAGAAGUCUGUGACAUG